UGCUUUGCACAGAGGCAGUAUCAUAGCUAAUCAGGGUUAUCCGAUGCGCGGUUAUUGCUAGUUGAAACUAUAUAUAUAUAUAUGUAUGUAUGUAUGUAUGUAUGUAUGUAUUUAAACCUGGAUGGGACUGCAGG
rfam:Octopus bimaculoides Scaffold132703_contig_1, whole genome shotgun sequence.